rnacentral:rRNA from 1 species
UACGGGGGGGGCAAGCGUUGUUCGGAAUUACUGGGCGUAAAGGGCUCGUAGGUGGCCAACUAAGUCGGACGUGAAAUCCCUCGGCUUAACCGGGGAACUGCAUCCGAUACUGGAUGGCUUGAGUUCGGGAGAGGGAUGUGGAAUUCCAGGUGUAGCGGUGAAAUGCGUAGAUAUCUGGAGGAACACCGGUGGCGAAGGCGGCAUCCUGGACCGACACUGACACUGAGGAGCGAAAGCGUGGGUAGCAAACAGG